rnacentral:lncRNA from 1 species
CCGACUCCAAUUCUCCAUCUAUAUAUCCACAAUAUAUAUAGAAUUUCAACACAUUACAUUGAAGAAAUGUAAUUACAUAAAAUGUAUUUAAGAAUGGAACCGAUGUACAGAAUGCAAGCAAAAACUAAGCAAUAUUAUUAGUCAAGAUACAUUCAAAUCAAGGUUCCUUAAUUAAUGCAAGCAAAGAGUAGAUAUGAAUAAAAGCCUAUGUAAUAUGAAUGCAGUCUAUCAGCAAUUAGAAACAUGCAUCCAACACACAGCAGCAACAUAAUGCAGCACAACUGCAUAAAUAAAAAAUUUGACAGAAAAUUAGAUUAAAGUACCAAAUCAUAGACAUAUUACUGUUGAAUUUCAUGUCAUAAAAAUAUUUAAGAGGGGUGAUUAAUUACCAUCCCUUCCAGAAUCCACCACCUUUGGACUUUGUUUCCCCUGGAUGAUUUUGAGGAUUCUCUUGUUUGGUAGGAUAGCCAAGAGGAGGGGGAGGUGCACUUGAAUGUGGAGGAUACACUAUAUUGAAAAAUUUGAUACAUCAUAUUUAUAAUUUCAUAUAGCCAGUCAUUCAUCACAUUUUAGAAAUAAAAUAUAUUUUAGUUGCAAAAGGGAUAUAUAUAAUUGGUUUUAAAUUGCGUCCGCAUUCACAAUUGCGGCCGCAAUAUUGUUGAUGCGGUAGUUUACGAAUUGCGGUGUGAUUUUCAUUCAGGUGUACCACCACAUUGUAACUGCAUCAAGAGCCGCAUCAACGAUUUUAGCCAUGUUUGUUCAAAUUUUCUCACCAAAAAAUAAAAUUUAUGAACUUGAAUUCCUAAUUUACGUCAAAUAUAAUGAAAAAUAUUACUUUUAAGGUUUAACAAUCUUUCAACUAUGUAUUUUAAACACCUUGCAAUUAUGGAUAAAUAGUGUAGUGAUAUAGUGAUAUCAUUUUAUAUAGUUUGGGAUAAAUUUAAAAAGAUAUUACGCUACGCCACAACAACUGCAAUGAUCGCAACCGUUACCGCAAUAAGUUUUCUAAAAUAUAGUAUUUGUUUUGUUUUCUAAAAUACCAUGUGAUUCAUGUUAAGAAGUCUCACAUCGGUUGUGAGAUGGUCUGAAUAUGUGCUUAUAAAGUAGAUGCAAUCAUCACCAUACAAACCGAUUUUAUAAGGUUAAGUUAGACUCAAUACUAAAUUUUGCGAUCCGCUAGACUACCUAUUAUCAAGUUUAUGAUCGGAUCAUCCACCAUUUAUAUCCCUCUCAGAAUUUAUGCUAUAUGGUAAAUGAGUUAUAUAAUGUACAAGAAACAUAUCUAAUUCAGUGAUUUUUCUUACAAUAAGUUUGAAUCUCAAGCAAGGUAUGCGGCUUUUUGUGUAUUAUACAAUUAUUAGAAAACGUGAAAUUUAUGGAACACAAUUUUUUUUUUUUCCUUUUCUUUCAUUAGAACUUAAUUUAAAUGGAGGAACAUAUAUAUACACAGAUAUAAAUAAUUAUAGAACAACAUAUAACAAGUUAGCUCCUAAUUAAGGAGCAAGCAUGGACUUAGAUACUUAAUUUACCUGUGGAUUGACACGAACUCAUCUUCAAAGUGAUGGAAGAGAGAGCACUAAUCAAAUAAUUGGAACCAGCUAAAGGAAUGAAGAAUAUGUUAUAGUUUAAUACAUUAGAUGGAUGCGAAGAUAACAAGGAGAUGAAAUAAUUGUACUUACUUGGAAGGCAUAGGAAACAAACAACGUUGGACGGCACACAUAGUUAGUGAUCAAAGAUGAGUGUUUGGACAAGAAACAUAUCUAAUUAGGAAGGCAUAGGG